AGAGUUACCUGAGUGGAAUUUUG
rnacentral:piRNA from 1 species